AGUGUCACGCCGGAUGAACGGGUUACUUUGAUGAAGUAAAAAAUAAGAACUUUAUUCCUCUUUGACACUU
rnacentral:tRNA from 1 species